AUUGAACGCUGGCGGCAGGCCUAACACAUGCAAGUCGAACGAGUGGCGGACGGGUGAGUAAUGUCUGGGAAACUGCCUGAUGGAGGGGGAUAACUACUGGAAACGGUAGCUAAUACCGCAUACUAUCAGAUGUGCCCAGAUGGGAUUAGCUAGUUGGUGGGGUAACGGCUCACCAAGGCGACGAUCCCUAGCUGGUCUGAGAGGAUGACCGGCCACCCGGGAACUGAGAAACGGUCCAGACUCCUCCGGGAGGAAGCAGUGGGGAAUUUUGCACAAUGGGCGCAAGCCUGAUGCAGCCAUGCCGCGUGUAUGAAGAAGGCCUUCGGGUUGUAAAGUACGUUCAGCGGGGAGGCGGUACCCGCAGAAGAAGCACCGGCUAACUCCGUGCCAGCAGCCGCGGUAAUUC
rnacentral:rRNA from 1 species